UAUUUAAAACCCAAAACUUAGCCUCCUUCCGCGUCUUUUUUAAAAAACCCAAAUCUUCAGUCGCUCUUCUCUCCUCUCUCCAAAUCGCGAGCCCUAGUUUCUCUCUUCUCUCCAAAUGCUUCUCUAAGAUUCUAAGAUUCGCGAUUUAGGUAAGGCUGGCUGAGAAUCGCGAUUGUGAGAUUCCAAAUCACAAGUCCUAACUUCUGCUAACUCUCUUCUCUCCAAAUCGGACGCAAGCAGAGCCAAAUCCCUAGCUUUUCUCUUGUCGCUUCUCUCCAAAUCAGGUAUGUGUAGUACAGUUCCUUUGUUUAUACGUGUGUGUGUGUAGUUUUCAUAUAAAAUGCUCUUUCUCGAGAUACUUCAUCAUUAUUUACUGAUUUGCAAUAAGUGAGUAUGAAUACUGAACCAACUUCGGAAAAUCUAAGAAGACAAAACAAACUAAGUAAGAAGUUUAGUGAAUUUAAUUUGAAAAAAGUAAGCCAGUGGAUUGAUAGCGUAGAUGAUCAUGGACCCAGGACAGAUUGAUAUAUACAGAUGGAGAGAGAAACUAAAAUCCCAAUUAUGUUAUUUUAAUUGUAUUUAUAUUUCUAAUUUUGCAGUUUUUAUUUUUCAAGUUUUUUUCGCAUUGAUGCAAUUUUGAACUUUUAUGAAAUAUCCAGAGUUUUUGGUCUACAACUUUGUUUGUUUGUGGUCUACAAUUUACAUAUCCAGAGUUGUUUCUCUACAACUUUGUUUGUGGUCAAUUUACAUAAAAACAAUAUCCAGAGUUUAUGUAUUUGGAUUAUAUGGGUAUUGAUGGGUCAAUUCUUGCUUAUUGAUUUCUGUUGAGUUUUGAUAUGGGUCUGUUGAUUAUGGGAGGUUGUGGUUUGCCAUGUUGACAAACAUUUAGUUAGCAAUUAAAAUUUCAACAGGGCUAUGUACUGUAGAAUGGUUUGAGGAUUUUCUUUUGGCUUUUCUUUUUGGUUUCUAACAGAAGUCACAAAGAGGAUCUCAUAUAUGUUUUGUACUUGCCCAAAAUCAUUGUUCAGCUUAAUACUGAACCAACUUUUUUCCGUAGCCUUUAUGUUGUAUAUUUGCAAUUUUAUAUUUUUGGUAUUUUUUUAGUUGCUCGUGUUUGUUGUAGAUGAUAAAAGUUUUUCUAUAUUUACUGACAUUACUGACUUUGAUCUAUAAUACUCAUUUAAGAGCAACAACAUCGAUUUUGGAAAAGAUAUGUACUAUUAGUGUGUUUUUUAAAUUUAUCUAAUUAUAAUAAGUUAAAUCAGCUUGAUGCUCUCAUGAUUGUGCUAUUCUAUCGGUUUUCUCAGUGACUUAUUUCGGUUACUUUCCUUUUUUUUAGUAUGGUGAAUGAUGGUCUAUUUCGAGUUUGGGAUAAUAGGAAAUGAACUGAGAUAUUUUUAUUUUUCCAACUUAAAAACUUUUUUUAAUAAAUUUUAUUAUGGUGUUGAAAUGGAACUUUGAUGGUAGUCAUGUACUUACAUAAAUACCAUAUGAUCCAUGGUCAUUGUCUCAUGGAGGCAUCUUAAUUCUUGGAAUGGAUUGGGUUGAGCAGGGGCAGACAGGGCCAUGACCCCAUUUUUUUCAUUUUUAUUUUUUUCCUGUAUUCACCUUGGACAAUAUUUACAUCAAAUAUUCCUAUUUUUUUUUUGUGCAGGGGUAGUACAUUGAUAGAUACCAGUAAUCGAUCUGAUAGAAUCCGUGGAUGAUGAUUUUGGAAUUUGGAGGUGAAGCUUUUGAAAAUUGACAAAACUAUCGUCGAUUUCAAAGAUUAAUGGAGGAAUGUAAUAG
rnacentral:lncRNA from 1 species